rnacentral:rRNA from 1 species
AGUCGAGGGGCAGCGGGAUUGAAGCUUGCUUCAAUUGCCGGCGACCGGCGCACGGGUGAGUAACGUGUAUCCAACCUUCCGUACACUCAGGGAUAGCCUUUCGAAAGAAAGAUUAAUACCUGAUGGUAUCUUAAGCACACAUGUAAUUAAGAUUAAAGAUUUAUCGGUGUACGAUGGGGAUGCGUCCCAUUAGGUAGUAGGCGGGGUAACGGCCCACCUAGCCAACGAUGGAUAGGGGUUCUGAGAGGAAGGUCCCCCACAUUGGAACUGAGACACGGUCCAAACUCCUACGGGAGGCAGCAGUGAGGAAUAUUGGUCAAUGGACGAGAGUCUGAACCAGCCAAGUAGCGUGAAGGAUGAAGGUCCUACGGAUUGUAAACUUCUUUUAUAAGGGAAUAAACCCUCCCACGUGUGGGAGCUUGUAUGUACCUUAUGAAUAAGCAUCGGCUAACUCCGUGCCAGCAGCCGCGGUAAUACGGAGGAUGCGAGCGUUAUCCGGAUUUAUUGGGUUUAAAGGGAGCGCAGACGGGUCGUUAAGUCAGCUGUGAAAGUUUGGGGCUCAACCUUAAAAUUGCAGUUGAUACUGGCGUCCUUGAGUGCGGUUGAGGUGUGCGGAAUUCGUGGUGUAGCGGUGAAAUGCUUAGAUAUCACGAAGAACUCCGAUUGCGAAGGCAGCACACUAAUUCGUAACUGACGUUCAUGCUCGAAAGUGU